rnacentral:rRNA from 1 species
AUUGAACGCUGGCGGAAUGCCUAACACAUGCAAGUCGAACGAAGCCUUCGGGCUUAGUGGCGGACGGGUGAGUAACACGUGGGAACGUACCUUUUGGUUCGGAACAACUCAGGGAAACUUGAGCUAAUACCGGAUGAGCCCUUAGGGGGAAAGAUUUAUCGCCGAAAGAGCGGCCCGCGUUAGAUUAGCUAGUUGGUGAGGUAAAGGCUCACCAAGGCAACGAUCUAUAGCUGGUCUGAGAGGAUGAUCAGCCACACUGGGACUGAGACACGGCCCAGACUCCUACGGGAGGCAGCAGUGGGGAAUCUUGCGCAAUGGGCGAAAGCCUGACGCAGCCAUGCCGCGUGAAUGAUGAAGGUCUUAGGAUUGUAAAAUUCUUUUACCAGGGACGAUAAUGACGGUACCUGGAGAAAAAGCCCCGGCUAACUUCGUGCCAGCCGCCGCGGUAA